GGCCUGGUGGUCUAGUAGUAUGAUUCCUUCUUAGGGCUCUACGGCGUUUGGAGGAGGUCCCGGGUUCAAUUCCCGGCCAGGCCC
rnacentral:tRNA from 1 species